rnacentral:rRNA from 1 species
AUUGAACGCUAGCGGGAUGCCUUACACAUGCAAGUCGAACGGAGGGGCGAACGGGUGAGUAAUGUAUAGGAACGGGCCCAGUAGCGGGGGAUAACUACGAGAACGCGUAGCUAAUACCGCAUACUAUUGGAAGUGACGAUAGCGGAGUAGCUAGUGUGGGGGGGAACGGAUCACCCAGGCGACGAACCGUAGCUGGUUUGAGAGGACGACCAGCCACACUGGGACUGAGACACGGCCCAGACUCCGACGGGAGGCAGCAGUGGGGAAUUUUGGACAAUGGGGGCAACCCUGAUCCAGCCAUCCCGCGUGUGCGAUGAAGGCCUUCGGGUUGUAAAGCACUUUUGGCAGGAAAGCGGUACCUGCAGAAUAAGCACCGGCUAACUACGUGCCAGCCGCCGCGGUAAUAC